AGACGGGGGGUGCUAGCGUUGUUCGGAAUUACUGGGCGUAAAGGGCGCGUAGGCGGCUCUGCGAGUCGGGCGUGAAAUCCCGGGGCUCAACCCCGGAACGGCGCUCGAUACUGCGGGGCUGGAGACCGGAAGAGGAGGGUGGAAUUCCCAGUGUAGAGGUGAAAUUCGUAGAUAUUGGGAGAACACCGGUGGCGAAAGCGGCUCUCUGGUCCGGUUCUGACGCUGAGGCGCGAAAGCGUGGGGAGCAAACAGGAUUAGAAACCCUAGUAGUCC
rnacentral:rRNA from 1 species